GCCUGCCUAGCUCAAUUGGCUAGAGCGUCAGACUUUUACGUUGGCACGAUUGAGUCAAUCGGGCGAUCUGAAGGCUGCGAGUUCGACCCUCGCGGUGGGCU